rnacentral:rRNA from 1 species
CAGUCGAGCGGAUGAAGAGAGCUUGCUCUCUGAUUCAGCGGCGGACGGGUGAGUAAUGCCUAGGAAUCUGCCUGGUAGUGGGGGACAACGUCUCGAAAGGGACGCUAAUACCGCAUACGUCCUACGGGAGAAAGCAGGGGACCUUCGGGCCUUGCGCUAUCAGAUGAGCCUAGGUCGGAUUAGCUAGUUGGUGAGGUAAUGGCUCACCAAGGCGACGAUCCGUAACUGGUCUGAGAGGAUGAUCAGUCACACUGGAACUGAGACACGGUCCAGACUCCUACGGGAGGCAGCAGUGGGGAAUAUUGGACAAUGGGCGAAAGCCUGAUCCAGCCAUGCCGCGUGUGUGAAGAAGGUCUUCGGAUUGUAAAGCACUUUAAGUUGGGAGGAAGGGCAGUAAAUUAAUACUUUGCUGUUUUGACGUUACCGACAGAAUAAGCACCGGCUAACUCUGUGCCAGCAGCCGCGGUAAUACAGAGGGUGCAAGCGUUAAUCGGAAUUACU